GACGAUAUUUCACUUGUGAUGACACAAACGUUCUGGAAAACAUUCCCUAAACCUUGGCUCUUUUCUCACUUUCCAUGCUUGAUGUUCUAACUGUCCUGACACUUCUUGUCCAGAAAGGUCCUCCUUCAACACUCAAUUUCUCAAAGUACUGAUUCUGAGUAUGUUCUAGUACAAGACCUCUUUGCUGCUUCUACUCAGCCACAAUCAUCAUCAUCAUCACUGGAGUGUUCAACUUCUGAGGCAAGAACUGAAUACUGUUUUUCAGCACUGGAAUGGUUAACAGCUGACAUGAUAUUUUUAAGUUAGCUAUGUCAAUUAUUAUGUCAAUAUUUCAACUUUUCCACUGGCUUGGGAGUUUAGUGCUGCUUUUGUUGCUUUUCCAUUCUAAUGUUCUGAACCCUCUUGAGCAACAUCCCCCUGCCUCCACUCUCCCAUUUUCCCCUUUGUUCAGCUUUUUAAGAAACCACUUGCACUUGUAUUGUGAGUGCAAUCUAUGGCAGAAAUAUUAGCUGUAGAUUUUAUAGCUGUAUAAAAUCUGGUAUAAAUAUCACAACUCAGUCUUAAUCACCAAAUUUUUCAAUAUACCUCUAGUGUCAAUGAUUACACUGUUUAAAAUAUGAACAGGUCAGUUGUGGUACAGCAUCUUCUCAUUUGGAGAGAUUUUCUUGGACUACAGAUGCUUUGGAGAAAUUAGUAUCUGAAACCCGGACUGUCCAACUGGAAUGUUUCUUGAUUACAACAAAGAACAGGCUGUUUCUGUCGGCUCGGACUAUGAAGAAUGGAGUUGCUUCCUUCAUCAUUGCUUUGAUAAACAGAUGGCCUGUGGCCACUUCUCCAGUGUGGAGAAUAUAAUGGCUGGGAAUGGAGCUGGUUCAAUGCAGGAACUGCCUUCUUGUCACCUCCAUGGCAGAAACGAGCUACAGGCAACAGGUUGGCCCUGACUCCUGUGCUAGGAAUUGGCAUCUUCAGAGCAGGAGAUGUCAGGAAAAAGACUCUUUGUACUGGAGUCGAUGUUUCUCCAUUGCAUUACCACAGUAUAAAGGUAUAGAAUGGUGCUGAUUCUGUCACAUCUUCACUCUUCUUUCAUUCUGAUCCAGUGUUGGGCCUCUCACUACAAGAAAGACGUUGAGAUGCUGGAGCAUGUCCAGAGAAGAGCAACAAAGCUGGUGAAGGGUCUAAAGAACAAGUCCUGCAAGGAGUGAUGAGGGAGCUGUGGGUGUGUAACCUGGAAAAAGGAGGCUUGGGGGGACCUUAUCAACCUCUACAACUACCCGACAGUAGCCAGGUGGGGCUCAGCCUCUUCUCCCAGACACCAUCUUAGUGAAGUGACAACGAACAGUGUAAGGACAUUCCUGCAGGUAUCAGAAGUACCCAGCUGAAAAAAUUCCUGAAUGGGGCACUGGAAUAAUGGAUAAUGUUUACACAAUGGAUGUACUAAGGAUGUUCUUCCUAAAAUGGCAACUUUCAAGCAAAAGGAGUAUGCCAAAAUGUCAAAAGUUUUGGAGACUACAGCUCUAAGGAAUAAGAUUUCAACAACUGUCUUGGUUA